GGCAGGGUGAUGUGACCAGGUGGGUCUGGACAGGGUGGUGUGGGCAGGGUGAUGUGACCAGGUGGGUCUGGACAGGGUGGUGUGGGCAGGGUGAUGUGACCAGGUGGGUCUGAGCAGGGUGGUGUGAGCAGGUGGGUCUGAGCAGGGUGGUGUGAGCAGGUGGGUCUGGGCAGGGUGGUGUGGGCAGGGUGGUGUGAGCAGGGUGGUCUGGGCAGGGUGGUCUGGGCAGGGUGGUGUGAGCAGGGUGGUGUGGGCAGGGUGGUGUGAGCAGGGUGGUCUGGGCAGGGUGGUGUGAGCAGGGUGGUCUGGGCAGGGUGGGCAGGGUGGUCUGGGCAGGGUGGUGUGGGCAGGGUGGUC
ensembl:lncRNA